GUUCCAGGUGUGUCUUAGUUUUGAAGCUUCACAGCAGCUGAGUAGUAGUGUGUGGUGAGCAUAACAAAUACCUAAAACUUUCAGGAAGGUGAAUCCUUCUCUCUGACCGUGGGAACUAUGGUCUGAAGAUGAAUGCCAAUCGCAAGAUAAUUCAAAUAUUGAAAUUAUGAAACAAUGACUUCCAAAUCAGCUAUGAUAAUGUGAUCUACAAGCUAAGGUCUAAUAUCCUCAAAACAAAUGGAAAGACAGAACAUCUUAGCAGGGAAAUAAAAGAUUCAACUGGCUCAUGGUUUGUACCGGGGGAACCAAGCCCAUGGUUGGGAUCCAGGGGUCCCUCCAGUCUCCUGUUCCAUGGUCGCACACACCUUGAGGGCACCCACACGGUUUGAUCGUCUCCUUAUAUUGCUGCUGGCAGACUCGUGACGGGGUUUCUCAUUCAUCUGGGUGUACAAGAAGCAUGGUGCCAGCAUCUGCUCAGCUUCUGAUGAGGGCUCUGGGAAGCUUUUACUCAUGGAGGAAGGCAAGGGGAACCAGCAUGUCACAUGAUGAGAAAGGAAGCAUGAGAGAGAGGUGCCAGACUCUUCAACAACCAGAAGAGAAAGUCAGAGAGAAUCAAAGCAUGUGAAGAGAGACCUCACGCAAGGAGGUCUAGGAGCCUAGAGUGAUCUUCAGCCAACAGUCAAAAAGAUAACUGGGACAACCACAAGGAACUGACUUCUAUAAGAGAAAUGAGCCUGGAAAAGGACUCCAAGCUUCAGAUGAAAAUGUAGUUGGCUGACACUUUGAUUUUAGUCUUGUGAAACCCUAAGCAGAGAAUCCAAGUAAGUCCCCCUGAACUUCUCACCUAAAGAACAAUGAGUUAAUAAAUAAGGGGUAUGAUAAGUCAUGAAAUAUGUGGUAAUUUAUUACAAAACAAUAUAUAAUGAUACAGAUACCUAUCUGGUAGCCAGAUAUUAUCCUAAGUAUUUUCCACAAGACAUUUAAUUUGAUUUAAUUAACACGCAACUCCAUAAGAGACAGAUCCUUUUAACUAUUUUGCAGGUGGUAAACUGAGGCUCAAGUAAUUUAUGUGAUUUGUCUAAGGUCCCAUAGGCUAUAAGUGUCAGAGCCCAGAUUGAGAAGUGUUUGGCUGUUCAUGCAAGUGCAAGCAGCUUUCAUUAAACUAUUCGCAGAAGUCUGUCAGAAUAGCUAGCAAGGAUACCAACUAUCUAGGGAAAGUCACACCAAAGGAGUGACCCAAAGAAACACAUUUUAACCUGAACUGCCUGGUAAUACACUGAAGGCAAAUCAGCCCCAAAGACUAAAAUUGUUAAUUUUCUGUGAUUCCUCGCUGUUUUAUUUAAUAUAAUAUGACCUUAACCUAGUCUUGAUAUUUGAUUUCUGAACAAUGAGUCAAGAGAGUUGCCUUCUCUAUGUAGUAGUACUUUACUGUUGUCAAAGACUUGUCCUUUGGUGCUUCAUAUUUUGCUUUACCUACAUGGAACAUUGCUAAUUUAGGUGAUAGCCUAACUAUUUAUAGUUAAAUACACCCACCAAGUUCCCUUUACCCUUCAAAUUAACUAAAAAGAAACAACUUCCUACUUCUUACACCACAUAAAAUUCAUAUUUUGCUUUAAAUGUAAUUUUUCAGCAAAGAGCCUAGUGGAGUUCACUUAAAACUAACCAAAUCAGCUGUUAAAAUUGUCCAUUUGAUCACAUGGGUUAUAGGCAUAGUUAUUUGACUGAGUUAUGACAAUGCUCAGAAACAGAAAAGACAGUCAAAGGUUAUCAUGUAAGUUCAAUAAAAAUUCAACAGUUGUUUUUAAAGAUUUUCAUAUGAUAAUAUUGUUUCACUUUCUAUUACCCAUAUUUGAUUUCAUUUACAAAUAAAAUACUACCCACUCUAUGAAUCAUGCUUUUAUCUCAAAUAUAUCUAGAGUGAAUCUCUAUGAUUUUUAGAAUACAGAAAUAUACAUUUUAAAAAGAUUUUAACAUUUAUUGUAAAUAAUUUAAGACAACUUUUAGAUAUAUCACGUGAGUGUUUAACUCAAUUUUCAUGACCCAGCUGGCCCAAAUUAGUCUUUUUUAUAAAUUGUUUUUUGAGUUGAAAUUAUUCUUUCACACCUAAAGAACUCUAUCUGAUGCUCUAGAGAGAAAUAUUCAAUUGAACUUCACAAUGUAGAACAUUUCCUGCAUUCUCCAUUGUAGACUGUGAUGAAUAAAUCAAUAUGUGCUUACUAAAAACAAAUGAUACAAUUUAAGGAAAUAUAUUAUUUUGAGUCCUGAUUCAAAGAAAAUAACCAAAUAUUUAAAAUUUAUUUAAAAUUUGUACUGUUUAUUUAUAUAAUUAUAACAUCUUCAAAAUCAAUAAUGAUUUUCUUCAUUUAGUAUUUAAACAUAACUAUUUUCUCAUAGUACUAGAGUCGCCAUAAGCAUCACUCUAUGGCUAUAUAAUUUCUGACAUGUGCUUUUAUUGGAAUUCAUUAAUAAUUUCAUUAUUUUUAGGUAUUUAGAUCAUGGCCCACUUUCCCCUACAACCACGAUACCUGUUUAAAUUGACAAAUCAUAGUUGUAUGGAUUUACGGGGCAAAAUGUGAUGUUUUGAUAUACGUAUAUGAUACAGUUUGAUUAAAUCAAGCUGCUUUAACAUAUCCAUCAUCCUGCUUACCUAUCAUUUUUAAUAAUGAGAUAUUUGAAAUGUAUUCUCUUAGUUAUUUUCAAAUACAUAAUACAUUAUUAUUGACUGUAGUCAUCCUGGUGUGCAAUGAAUCUCAAGAUGAAUAUUUCCAUGAACAUUAAAAAAAAUUCUUCCAUUUUGAAAU
rnacentral:lncRNA from 10 species